rnacentral:rRNA from 1 species
UGGGCCGCACGCGCGCUACACUGACAGGGCCAGCGAGUACAUCACCUUGGCCGAGAGGUCUGGGUAAUCUUGUUAAACCCUGUCGUGCUGGGGAUAGAGCAUUGCAAUUAUUGCUCUUCAACGAGGAAUGCCUAGUAGGCACGAGUCAUCAGCUCGUGCCGAUUACGUCCCUGCCCUUUGUACACACCGCCCGUCGCUACUACCGAUUGAAUGGCUCGGUGAGGCCUUCGGACUGGCUCAGGGGAGUUGGCAACGACUCCCC